UUUGUAUAUGUUUUUUGUCAGCCUGGUGGCGCUGGCAGCAUAAGUAUGUGCAGCCCAAGAAGGUUGGCAUGGCCCCAUUCUUCCAAUUGCUGGUUGGAUCGAUGACUUUCUUCUAUGUUAUUAACUAUGGAAAAAUGAGUAUGUAUUUUAUCCACAC
rfam:Danaus plexippus plexippus isolate F-2 unplaced genomic scaffold DPSCF300026, whole genome shotgun sequence.